GCUUACGGCCAUACCAGCCUGNNUACGCCCGAUCUCGUCCGAUCUCGGAAGCUAAGCACGGUCGGGCCUGGUUAGUACCUGGAUGGGAGACCGCCUGGGAAUACCAGGUGCUGUAAGCUA
rnacentral:rRNA from 1 species